CGCGCAGGCGGAUCUGCCAGUCUGUCUUAAAAGUUCGGGGCUUAACCCCGUGAUGGGAUGGAAACUACAGAUCUAGAGUAUCGGAGAGGAAAGUGGAAUUCCUAGUGUAGCGGUGAAAUGCGUAGAUAUUAGGAAGAACACCAGUGGCGAAGGCGACUUUCUGGACGAAAACUGACGCUGAGGCGCGAAAGCCAGGGGAGGCAACG
rnacentral:rRNA from 1 species